rnacentral:rRNA from 1 species
AGUGAACGCUGGCGGCAGGCCUAACACAUGCAAGUCGAACGGCAGCACAAGAGAGCUUGCUCUCUGGGUGGCGAGUGGCGGACGGGUGAGGAAUGCAUCGGAAUCUGCCCAUUUGUGGGGGAUAACCUCGGGAAACCGGGACUAAUACCGCAUACGACCUACGGGUGAAAGCAGGGGAUCUUCGGACCUUGCGCAGAUGGAUGAGCCGAUGCCGGAUUAGCUAGUUGGAGGGGUAAAGGCCCACCAAGGCGACGAUCCGUAGCUGGUCUGAGAGGAUGAUCAGCCACACUGGGACUGAGACACGGCCCAGACUCCUACGGGAGGCAGCAGUGGGGAAUAUUGGACAAUGGGCGCAAGCCUGAUCCAGCCAUGCCGCGUGUGUGAAGAAGGCCUUCGGGUUGUAAAGCACGUUUGUUGGGAAAGAAAAGCAGCCGGUUAAUACCCGGUUGUCAUGACGGUACCCAAAGAAUAAGCACCGGCUAACUUCGUGC